rfam:Gossypium hirsutum cultivar TM-1 chromosome 2, whole genome shotgun sequence
CUAGUGGAGUUUUUAAACUCCACAAACAAGGUCAGGAGAUUGAUA